rnacentral:rRNA from 1 species
GACGAACGCUGGCGGCGUGCCUAAUACAUGCAAGUCGAGCGGACCGACGGGAGCUUGCUCCCUUAGGUCAGCGGCGGGCGGGUGAGUAACACGUGGGUAACCUGCCUGUAAGACUGGGAUAACUCCGGGAAACCGGGGCUAAUACCGGAUGCUUGAUUGAACCGCAUGGCUCAAUCAUAAAAGGUGGCUUUUAGCUACCACUUACAGAUGGACCCGCGGCGCAUUAGCUAGUUGGUGAGGUAACGGCUCACCAAGGCGACGAUGCGUAGCCGACCUGAGAGGGUGAUCGGCCACACUGGGACUGAGACACGGCCCAG